UCUCCGUUGGUGAACCAGCGGAGGGAUCAUUACAGAGUUGCAGAACUCCCAAACCAUUGUGAACGUUACCUAUCCCGUUGCUUCGGCGGGCGGCCCGGGCCCCGCGCCCGGCGCCCCCCGGCCCCCCGUGGGCGCCCGCCGGAGGUAAACCAAACCCUUGAAUUGCAUGGCCUCUCUGAGUCUUCUGUACUGAAUAAGUCGAAACUUUCAACAACGGAUCUCUUGGUUCUG
rnacentral:misc_RNA from 1 species